rnacentral:rRNA from 1 species
AUGGUAGGAUAGAGGCCUACCAUGGUUUUAACGGGUAACGGGGAAUUAGGGUUCGAUUCCGGAGAGGGAGCCUGAGAAACGGCUACCACAUCCAAGGAAGGCAGCAGGCGCGCAAAUUACCCAAUCCCGACACGGGGAGGUAGUGACAAUAAAUAACAAUAUGGGGCUCUUACGAGUCUUGUAAUUGGAAUGAGUACAAUUUAAAUCUCUUAACGAGGAACAAUUGGAGGGCAAGUCUGGUGCCAGCAGCCGCGGUAAUUCCAGCUCCAAUAGCGUAUAUNAAAGUUGUCGCAGUUAAAAAGCUCGUAGUUGAAUUUCGGGAUUUAUCCGUCGGUCGGGCUUUUGGGUCUGUACUGGCGUGAUGGAUUCCUACCUUCUGAAUAACCGGCAUGUCAUUAAUUUGGUGCGCCGGGGAAGCAGGACUGUUACCUUGAAAAAAUUAGAGUGCUUAAAGCAGGCUUAUGCCUGAAUACAUUAGCAUGGAAUAAUGAAAUAGGACGGCAUGGUUCUAUUUUGUUGGUUUCUAGGAUCACCGUAAUGAUUAAUAGGGAUAGUUGGGGGCAUUAGUAUUCAAUUGUCAGAGGUGAAAUUCUUGGAUUUAUUGAAGACUAACUUCUGCGAAAGCAUUUGCCAAGGAUGUUUUCAUUAAUCAAGAACGAAAGUUAGGGGAUCGAAGACGAUCAGAUACCGUCGUAGUCUUAACCAUAAACUAUGCCGACUAGGGAUCGGACGAUGUUAAUUUUUUAAUGACUCGUUCGGCGCCUUACGGGAAACCAAAGUGUUUGGG